GAGUGAUGAUGUUUUAAACCUAUUCCAUUGCUGAAACAGUCUGUGGAAAAAAAAAACUGAACUC